CGUCUGGAAAGGCGCGCGAUACAGGGUGACAGCCCCGUACACAAAAGCGCAUGUGCUGUGAGCUCGAUGAGUAGGGCGGGACACGUGGUAUCCUGUCUGAAUAUGGGGGGACCAUCCUCCAAGGCUAAAUACUCCUGACUGACCGAUAGUGAACCAGUACCGUGAGGGAAAGGCGAAAAGAACCCCGGCGAGGGGAGUGAAAAAGAACCUGAAACCGUGUACGUACAAGCAGUGGGAGCCCCACCACCAAAGCAUUCUCUGGUGUUGAAGGCCCUGCAAAGCAGCAUCGCGGUGGCGGAGCGUCGUUUGCGACGCCCAACACACAAAACAAGCGGUGAAUGCUUUGGGGUGGGGUGACUGCGUACCUUUUGUAUAAUGGGUCAGCGACUUAUAUUCUGUAGCAAGGUUAACCGAAUAGGGGAGCCGGAGGGAAACCGAGUCUUAAUUGGGCGUUAAGUUGCAGGGUAUAGACCCGAAACCCGGUGAUCUAGCCAUGGGCAGGUUGAAGGUUGGGUAACACUAACUGGAGGACCGAACCGACUAAUGUGU
rnacentral:rRNA from 1 species